rnacentral:rRNA from 1 species
GACGAACGCUGGCGGCGUGCUUAACACAUGCAAGUCGAGCGGUAAGGCCCUUCGGGGUACACGAGCGGCGAACGGGUGAGUAACACGUGAGCAAUCUGCCCUCCACAUCGGGAUACCCCCCGGAAACGGGAGCUAAUACCGGAUACGACCACUUCAGGCAUCUGAUGGUGGUGGAAAGUUCCGGCGGUGGAGGAUGAGCUCGCGGCCUAUCAGCUUGUUGGUGGGGUAACGGCCCACCAAGGCUUCGACGGGUAGCCGGCCUGAGAGGGUGACCGGCCACACUGGGACUGAGACACGGCCCAGACUCCUACGGGAGGCAGCAGUGGGGAAUAUUGGACAAUGGGCGAAAGCCUGAUCCAGCAACGCCGCGUGAGGGAUGACGGCCUUCGGGUUGUAAACCUCUUUCAGUAGGGACGAAGCGCAAGUGACGGUACCUACAGAAGAAGCACCGGCCAACUACGUGCCAGCCGCCGCCGUAACAC